GACGUAGGGCGCGAGCGUUUGUCCGGAUUUAUUGGGCGUAAAGAGCUCGUAGGCGGCUUGUCGCGUCGUCCGUGAAAACCUGCAGCUCAACUGCAGGCUUGCGGUCGAUACGGGCAGGCUGGAGUUCGGUAGGGGAGACGUAGGUACUCGGUGUAGCGGUGAAAUGCGCAGAUAUCAGGAGGAACACCGGUGGCGAAGGCGGGUCUCUGGGACGUGAUCAUCGUGCGC
rnacentral:rRNA from 1 species